rnacentral:lncRNA from 10 species
UACAGAUGAAAAAAUUGAGGCUCAAAGAAGUCCACCAAAUUGAGAGUGAAGUAGGGGAAACAGCAUUUAACGCUUACAUUCUAAUGAUUUGUGUAAGAGCAGCAGGACAAGCUAUACAAAGAAAAAGGUGGAAUUAUCAGGAUGGAAUUAAAGAUGCUUCCAAACAGAGGGGAUAUCUCAAGCCAUGACUCAGAGAGUUCUCCCCACAUUAUUAAUGGUAUGGGAAUUAGGAGAAGGUCAUCUGACUCACAUGGAUCACCAUAUAAUUCCUUCUGGAGAACAGAAAAAAUGCAGAAGAGGAAAACCUCCAUAUGUGAAGCUAUGGCAAGGGAGUCUCCCCACCCCGCGCUCCAACAGAGUCUGGAGAUAAACCCUCAGAGACUCAGGAUUCAUGUGGCUCCAUAAACAUGGCCCAAUCUAUUGUCAAACCAGAAUGGUAGAACUGAAAGCAUCUCCAA